rnacentral:rRNA from 1 species
CAUGGCUCAGAUUGAACGCUGGCGGCAGGCCUAACACAUGCAAGUCGAGCGGAUGAAGGGAGCUUGCUCCUGGAUUCAGCGGCGGACGGGUGAGUAAUGCCUAGGAAUCUGCCUGGUAGUGGGGGAUAACGUCCGGAAACGGGCGCUAAUACCGCAUACGUCCUGAGGGAGAAAGUGGGGGAUCUUCGGACCUCACGCUAUCAGAUGAGCCUAGGUCGGAUUAGCUAGUUGGUGGGGUAAAGGC